GGGUCAGUAGGUUGGUCGUGCCACCGGUACGUACUGGUCUCACUGAUUCCUCCUUCCUGAAGAACCGUAAUGCCGUUAAUUUGGUGUUGCGGGGAAACAGGACUGUUACUUUGAAAAAAUUAGAGUGUUUAAAGCAAGCUAACGCUUGAAUACAUUAGCAUGGAAUAAUGAAAUAGGACGAUCGAUCCUAUUUUGUUGGUUUCCAGGAUUGACGUA
rnacentral:rRNA from 1 species